rnacentral:lncRNA from 1 species
GUUCGUCAUCGUCGUCCUCCUCCUCCUCCUCCUCCUCAGAAUCUAUGUCAUCAUCGUCAUCCUCGUCCUCCUCAUGAGUUACCAUGCCAUCUUCUUCUACCAUGGCGGCUCCUCGCUUCCCCCCCACGGACACAGAGGUCGGUGGGUGGUGGAAGCAGAGCUGCUGCUGCUGCUGAUCCGCGUGCGGUGGAGGUGGCGGCUGCUGCAUCUGCUGAGCGGGCGUGGCGGCGGCGGCGGCAGUGGCGUGGUGGUAGGCGCACAUCUCACGGAAGAAGAGGUGCUUGGAGUUGAGGAGCUUGCGGGCCUCCUCCUUGGCCUUGGGGGAGAGGUGCUCCAUGGUGUCUAGGAGGGCCUGGUUCUCCACCAC